CCUUAGUAGUGGCGAAUGAAUCGGGAAAAGCUCAAGUUUGAAAUCCGAGGUUUACCUCGGAGUUGUAAGCUGAAGAGGCAUCGAUCGACUCGGUCCGGGCUCAAUUUCCUUGGAACAGGAGGUCAUGGAGGGUGAGAACCCCGUCUGUGGCUCGGGUGCCGUGGUCCUUGUGUCGUGUCCUCGAAGAGUCGGGUUGUUUGGGAAUGCAGCUCAAAAUGGGUGGUAAAUUUCAUCUAGAGCUAAAUAUUGGCGAGAGACCGAUAGCAAACAAGUAGAGUGAUCGAAAGAUGAAAAGUACUUUGAAAAGAGAGUGAAACAGUACGUGAAAUUGUUGAAAGGGAAGCGUUUGGCAUCAG
rnacentral:rRNA from 1 species